CAACACCUACGGCUUCCACUAGAUGUCAACGAUCUUUAUAAAGUUGUUUGAAGCGUCUAUGAUAAACAGAGAGCAAAUUAGAAUGCAAGGAAGUUGACAUGUCGUCAUUUCAUUUUUUUGCGCCUGCGCAUAAAUCUGAGAAGCGUGAGUUUGUCAUUAAUUGUUUAUCAAGACAUAGGAUAGGUUGUGUGAAAAUAUUACUGAUGUUUAACGUUAAAGAUGGACCAAAAGAUUAAUGCUAAACAAAGUUUGACAUGUUUGAACGAACGUAAAUAGAUUAUUUACUAGUUUUUUUUAGCUUUUCGGCGUGAUUUUAAAACCCCCCCCACCACGUUUUGUGGGAGCAUAAUGAACGCUAACUACUUGGUGUUAUUUGGACAUAAAUUAUGAACUUUGUCAAAAGAAACCACAUUUGUUCCGGACCUGGGAUUCCUGGCAGUGCCUUCUGAUGGAGAUAAUCAAAGGACAAUGACCCAAAACACACCCCCAGGUUGUGUAAGGGCUAUUUGACCAAGAAGGAGAGUGAUGGAGUGCUGCAUCAGAUGACCUGGCCUCCACAAUCCCCCGACCUCAACCCAAUUGAGAUUGUUUUGGAUGAGUUGGACCGCAGAGUGAAGGAAAAGCAGCCAACAAGUGCUCAGCAUAUAUGGGAACUCCUUCAAGAUUUGAUGGAUGGACUACAGUGGUGGAUGGACUACAGUGGUAGAUGGACUGCAGUGAUGGAUGGACUACAGUGGUGGAUGGACUACAGUGGUAGAUGGACUACAGUGGUGGAUGGACUACAGUGGUGGAUGGACUACAGUGGUGGAUAGACUACAGUGGUGGAUGGACUACAGUGGUGGAUGGACUACAGUGGUGGAUGGACUACAGUGGUAGAUGGACUACAGUGGUGGAUGGACUACAGUGGUGGAUAGACUACAGUGGUGGAUGGACUACAGUGGUGGAUGGACUACAGUGGUGGAUGGACUACAGUGGUGGAUGGACUACAGUGGUGGAUGGACUACAGUGGUGGAUGGACUACAGUGGUGGAUGGACUACAGUGGUGGAUGGACUACAGUGGUAGAUGGACUACAGUGGUGGAUGGACUACAGUGGUAGAUGGACUACAGUGGUGGAUGGACUACAGUGGUGGAUGGACUACAGUGGUGGAUGGACUACAGUGGUGGAUGGACUACAGUGGUGGAUGGACUACAGUGGUAGAUGGACUACAGUGGUGGAUGGACUACAGUGGUAGAUGGACUACAGUGGUGGAUGGACUACAGUGGUAGAUGGACUACAGUGGUGGAUGGACUACAGUGGUGGAUGGACUACAGUGGUGGAUGGACUAUAGUGGUAGAUGGACUACAGUGGUGGAUGGACUACAGUGGUAGAUGGACUACAGUGGUGGAUGGACUACAGUGGUAGAUGGACUACAGUGGUGGAUGGACUACAGUGGUGGAUGGACUACAGUGGUGGAUGGACUACAGUGGUAGAUGGACUACAGUGGUGGAUGGACUACAGUGGUGGAUGGACUACAGUGGUGGAUGGACUACAGUGGUGGAUGGACUACAUAAUGUGUCUUGAAAUUUCAGCCCUUUUGAUUUAUUCUCAGCUCCAUAGGAAAUGGAAGAAGGUUUGAAUUUUCGAAGGUGGAUAAUUCACUGCCUAUCAAGUGUACAUUAACUUCCUAAUAACAAAAACAGAACAUCUAAAUCAAUUAUUGUAUUUUACCGUUAUUUUUAUUGUAAAAAAAAAAACGUUCUCUUAUUUUAAUGUGAAGCUUUAUAGAACAAACCAACACUGAGGUCACAUCUGAUGUACUGGUUGAAAUCGGUGGUGGAAAAAUCUUGAAUAUCUGUCGAACCAACACUGGUUUUAUUAUGCGUAACUUUACAUUAACUGGUAGGACUUCAUCAGUAGUCUGAGUCUGUCUCAUUGGCAUCCUCUGUCUUUUCCUUCUCAGAGUUUUUAAUUCAACCACAAAUGUGUUAUUAUAACACAUAAUAAAUAAUGUUUUGUUUAAUCCAAACAUAUUUAACAGUCAGAAUGAAAAAGUUUUUUUUUGUCAAACUGUACAAAAGUAAUAUAUCUCCCUUUUGGAAAAUAGAAAGACCAGGAAAGAAAAAGAGCAGAGCUGGUGAUUUCUGUCUGAGAUGGGACAGCACUUUACAUGUACUAUCUACAGAAU
rnacentral:lncRNA from 1 species